rnacentral:piRNA from 1 species
UAUCUUCGACGCUUUUCCACACUUUC